AGGGAAAAGGGGCAGACCGGCAAGAACUGGAUCUUCCUGAAGAACUUGCUUAGAAAUACUCGCUUGUAGUGAAACCAUCACUACAAGUUCGUAUUUCUUUUCUGCACAACAAUUCUCUGUUCGACGUUCAGCUGGAGAAUGCCUUUUGAGGAGCCACUUGCUGUACUCCGUUACUUUUUGCAUCUCCAUUACAUCAAACUUUUG
rnacentral:misc_RNA from 1 species